GCGUAGGGAUCUGCCCUAAAGUGGGGGACAACUCGGGGAAACUCGGGCUACUACCGCAUAAUGUCUAAGGAAGAAAGUUGCCUUCGGGUGACGCUUUAGGAGGAACCUGCGUCCGAUUAGCUUGUUGGUGGGGUAAAAGCCUACCAAGGCAACGAUCGGUAGCUGGUCUGAGAGGACGAUCAGCCACACUGGGACUGAGACACGGCCCAGACUCCUACGGGAGGCAGCAGUGGGGAAUAUUGGACAAUGGGCGAAAGCCUGAUCCAGCAAUGCCGCGUGUGUGAAGAAGGCCCUAGGGUU
rnacentral:rRNA from 1 species